GCAUAUCAAUAAGCGGAGGAAAAGAAAAUAACAAUGAUUCCCCUAGUAACUGCGAGUGAAGAGGGACAAGCUCAAAUUUUAAAUCUAUCGGGUUUUACCUGAUCGAGUUGUAAUUUGAAGAAGCGUUUUUUGCGUAUUUGGUCAGCCUAAGUCCUAUUGAAUGAGGCAUCAUGGAGGGUGAUAAUCCCGUCCGGUUGAUCAUUUGCGUUUUACGAUACGCUUUCUAAGAGUCAAGUUGUUUGGGAUUGCAGCUUAAAAUGGGAGGUAAAUUUCUCCUAAGGCUAAAUAACGGCGAGAGACCGAUAGCGAACAAGUACCGUGAGGGAAAGAUGAAAAGAACUUUGAAAAGAGAGUUAAACAGUACGUGAAAUUGUUGAAAGGGAAACGAUUGAAGCCAGUCGUACCUUCGGGUAAUCAGCCUUUUGGGUGUGAUUUUGUGGAGCGUGAAGAGUUAAACGCCUUCAUGCUUGCAUAUUCGUGCACUUUGGGUGUACUUGCCCGUGUGGUUGGUUAACAUCAAUUUUGGUGGUCAUAAAAUGACUGGGGGAAUGUAGCUUCGAUCUUGUAUUGAAGUGUUAUAGCCUUCGGUAGAUGUGAUGAUCGAGAUUGAGGAUUGCAACGGAUACCCUUCGGGGCUACCUGUCUGGUCUCUGAUCGUUGCUCUGGUGCCGAAAGCUUGCUUACGGUUAUCAAAGUCGAUGGUCAAUAGGUUAGAACGGGUUAAAUUCGUUAAGGAUGUUGACGUAAUGGCUUUAAACGACCCGUCUUGAAACACGGACCAAGGAGUCUAACAUAUAUGCGAGUGUUAGGGUGAUUAAACCCUUACGCGUAAUGAAAGUAAUUUUGGUGGGAACACUUUUGUGCACCAUCGACCGAUCAGGAUAUUUUUUGAUAGAUUUGAGUAAGAGCA
rnacentral:rRNA from 1 species